rnacentral:lncRNA from 12 species
AUGGAACUAGAGUUGCACAAGUACCAUGAGUUUUGGGAUCAAAGAAGAGAGCUUUUUGAGGAGGUCCUGACUUUCGAGUUUAGGUUUACCUCUAUGCUCACUGUAGCAGCCUGUGGCUCAGAAAUGACCUGGACUCAACACUGUACGACUCAAGCCAUGGAAUUCAGCAGAAUCCUCAUCGUUUGGGCCAAACAGGUCUGUCCCAGAUUCUUUAACCUCUUACAAAGAAGGCUUUCCAGUGUAUUACCAUCUGCAUGGGCUGGAAGAGACCUUAGCUUUAGGUUCAAGAUCGUUUGUUGGGAGAUUGGCUUUCUUGACUUAGGUCCAUUUCUGCAGCUGUUUUGUCUUCUCUCCCAAUGUCUGGGGUGGCCUGGAUGAAAUUCUCCAGCUGUGGUGAUGGUCAUUCAAUAGGUGGCACUCUCUCCCAGAAUACCAUCCUUCGUCACAGCCCAGAUGAUCUUACUGAUAAAUCAUUAGGCUCCGGUUAGGGGAAUGGCACAGUUACAAGUACAAAAUAGUCAGGAUGACUAUUUUGCAACUUUUCUUUCCCUCCCGUACACCAUAUCCCACUCCCUCCUCUUGUUUUCUCACCUCCUUUAGAACUUAAUCCAUGUGCUAAGACCUUGAACUUAAGGAAGAUCGGUUGACCCUUUUCCUAAGAGGAGGAGGGGACAGAGGGAGACAUUCGUGCUAAGUCUUGGGCUUGAAAUCCAGUGUUGAUUCUUUUUGUCAUUCAUUCACUGACUCACUCGUUCAUUUAUUCACCCAACAUUUACUGUAGGCCAACACAUACUUUAGUGGUGAGAAGAGACAGACCCCAAGGGCAAUGACCGGAGUUUGAAGUUUAGAUCUGCUACUUAUGGACUUUGGGAAAAUUUCUUAAGCUCUCAAUGCCUCAGUCUCCUGAUUUGUUAAGUGGGCGUGAUAACAGUACUUAUCUCACAGGUUUCUUUCAAGGAUUUCAAUAAUUAACUUUAAUUAUUAUUUAUAAGAUACUAAGAACAGUGCUUGGUACACAGUAACAUUAAAUCAGGGUUUGUUAAAUGAAUACUAGCUAAUAUGUCGUUAAUGACGACGUGCUUGACUUUCAGAGGGACAUAGUAGUGCUUUUAAAGCAUUGAAUAUAUUGCACAUAUUCCCCACUUAAACAUCUCUGAAAUCAGGACGGGAUGUCGUAAUGUGGCAACUUCUUUUCCUUAGUGAUAUAUAAAAUAUUCUUUUUUAAAUUGAUAG